AUUGAACGCUGGCGGCAGGCCUAACACAUGCAAGUCGAACGAGUGGCGGACGGGUGAGUAAUGUCUGGGAAACUGCCUGAUGGAGGGGGAUAACUACUGGAAACGGUAGCUAAUACCGCAUACCAUCGGAUGUGCCCAGAUGGGAUUAGCUAGUAGGGGGGGUAACGGCUCACCGAGGCGACGAUCCCUAGCUGGUCUGAGAGGAUGACGAGCCACACUGGAACUGAGACACGGUCCAGACUCCUACGUGAGGCAGCAGUGGGGAAUAUUGGACAAUGGGCGAAAGCCGGAUGCAGCCAUGCCGCGUGUAUGAAGAAGGCCUUCGGGUUGUAAAGUACUUUCAGCGGGGAGGCGUUACCCGAAGAAGAAGCACCGGCUAACUCCGUGCCAGCAGCCGCGGUAAUAC
rnacentral:rRNA from 1 species